GGGGAGGUAGUGACGAAAAAUAACGAUACGGGACUCAUCCGAGGCCCCGUAAUCGGAAUGAGUAUACUCUAAAUCCUUAUACGAGUAUCAAUUGGAGGGCAAGUCUGGUGCCAGCAGCCGCGGUAAUUCCAGCUCCAAUAGCGUAUAUUAAAGUUGUUGCGGUUAAAAAGCUCGUAGUUGGAUCUGUGUCCCGCACCGUCGGUUCACCGCCUGUCGGUGUUCAACUGGCGUGUAUGCGGGACGUCCUGCCGGUGGCGGUCCGGUUCCCUCCGGGUACGUAGGCGUUCGCCUCGUGCGUCGCCGAAGGCCCGGGCGGUGUUUCCGGCCGCCUUUUCGAUCCCGUCGCGGUGCUCUUCACCGAGUGUCGAGGCGGGCCGGCACGUUUACUUUGAACAAAUUAGAGUGCUUUAAGCAGGCCCUGUCCCGCCUGUAUGUCGUGUGCAUGGAAUAAUGGAAUAGGACCUCGGUUCUAUUUUGUUGGUUUUCGGAAUCUGAGGUAAUGAUCAAUGGGGACAGGCGGGGGCAUUCGUAUUGCGACGUUAGAGGUGAAAUUCUUGGAUCGUCGCAAGACGGACCGAAGCGAAAGCAUUUGCCAAGUAUGUUCUCGUCGAUCAAGAACGAAAGUUAGAGGUUCGAAGGCGAUCAGAUACCGCCCUAGUUCUAACCAUAAACUAUGCCUGCCAGCGAUCCGCCGAAGUUCCUCCGAUGACUCGGCGGGCAGCUUCCGGGAAACCAGAGCUUUUGGGUUCCGGGGGAAGUAUGGUUGCAAAGCUGAAACUUAAAGGAAUUGACGGAAGGGCACCACCAGGAGUGGAGCCUGCGGCUUAAUUUGACUCAACACGGGAAAACUCACCAGGCCCGGACACCGGAAGGAUUGACAGAUUGAGAGCUCUUUCUUGAUUCGGUGGGUGGUGGUGCAUGGCCGUUCUUAGUUGGUGGAGCGAUUUGUCUGGUUAAUUCCGAUAACGAACGAGACUCUAGCCUACUAACUAGGCGUACCCGGUAUCCACAAUCGUGCUACCGGCGAUCAAAUUUCUUCUUAGAGGGACAGGCGGCUUCUAGCCGCACGAGACUGAGCAAUAACAGGUCUGUGAUGCCCUUAGAUGUCCUGGGCCGCACGCGCGCUACACUGAAGGAAUCAGCGUGUCUUCCCUGUCCGAAAGGACCGGGUAACCCGCUGAACCUCCUUUGUGCUAGGGAUUGGGGCUUGCAAUUGUUCCCCAUGAACGAGGAAUUCCCAGUAAGCGCGAGUCAUAAGCUCGCGUUGAUUACGUCCCUGCCCUUUGUACACACCGCCCGUCGCUACUACCGAUUGAAUGAUUUAGUGAGGUCUUCGGACCGGUGCGCGGAGGCCGCUCCGCGGUCUCCGAUGUUGCUGGAAAGAUGACCAAACUUGAUCAUUUAGAGGAAGUAAAA
rnacentral:rRNA from 1 species